rnacentral:lncRNA from 1 species
CCUGGGGACACACAGGAUGGACACACAGGUGUCUUAAGGAGAUUCCUGAAGAGGAGCUGGCUUAAUCUACCACUAACACGCAGAACAAGUAACUCACCCGACAGCUGCGGCACUGACCUUCUCGUCCAGCCGGACGGCCUCUUCCUCAGCCACUUCACUCAAUGAAAUGAAACGCAGCUAUUGACGACAAGCCAAAUGGGCGAUGCAUCUGGCAGCUCUGUGAGGUGUGCAUCGGCAACCCUCUGCUCCGUGAAGGCGACACCUGCUCUUACUUUGCCCAGCUCUUCAAAGUGAAACGGACAAGCAGCUGUCAGGUCAGCCCCCCAUUGCAGAGCUUGAAGCCAUCAAGAGCAGUGAUAUAUUUGCCUUGUUCUGGGGGCAGGCUUUCUGCCGACGCGGGAGAUCACAUAAAUACCUUCAGACCAGCAUAUCUGAGUCGUCAGUGAGUGACCUCCCUGACAGGCUGAAACCGCAAAAGGCAACUUACGGGGUAGUGGAAGCAGGCUGCCCGGCUCUGGGUGCAGCCGAAGCAGUGCCCGGGGAGGGAGGCAUUCAUUCAUGUUCACAUCCCCAUUUUUCUACGUGGUAGGAAACUCAUUCCAGAGAGUAAUAGUAGCUUAAAAAUGCAGCCACAUAACUUUUAUAGCCCCAUUUCUUCAAGUGCUUCACAAUGAAAUCCAGAGUCUUUGAUAGAACUUGUCCCAUAUCCCAAGUUCUUAAUGAUUACAGCCAGACAUAGUUUUAGAGAGGAAACCUGCCCUUUUAAAAUAUGAGUUUGCUAUCUUUUCAUUAGCAGACCUCACUUGGAGAGGUGAGGAAGGCCCGUUGCUAUUAACCCACCUUCCUUCCCUGGGUGGAGGGCGGGAGCUUCCUGGGAUGAGAAGGGAGGAAGACUCUGAUCCUUGUUUUCAGGUGUAUGCCUUUCUCCUGUGGAGUCUGAGAACUCGGUAACUUGGUGUCAUUUAAGAGCGUUGGUCUUCCUGUGUUUCUUCUCAAUAAUAAUAUCUAACGUUUAUUUACUCCUAAAGCAUUGUAUUUACUUCUUGAAACAAGCGUAUGAGACUGGUACUAAUGUUAUUGACCUCACGGUGAAACCAAAGCUGAUGGGGUAGAGCCCGAAGUCGUGCUAAUAAGGGGUGAACAACCAGUUCGAAUCCUGGCCAUCUGACCACAGAGCCUGUGUUCUUAUUCAUUCUCUUACCAAGACAUGAAGAAUGUGUGAACCAGCAGAGGGGCAUACUAACGUUGCCUUCACACCACAGGGCUGUUGAACACCUGUAUUCAUUAGGUGUAUUCAUUUCGUACAUUGUCAUUUACAUUUUUGGUGUUUUAUUCAUUUAUCCAACAAAUCUUUAUU